AUUGAACGCUGGCGGCAGGCCUAACACAUGCAAGUCGAGCGAGCGGCGGACGGGUGAGUAAUGUCUGGGAAACUGCCUGAUGGAGGGGGAUAACUACUGGAAACGGUAGCUAAUACCGCAUACCAUCAGAUGUGCCCAGAUGGGAUUAGCUAGUAGGUGGGGGAACGGCUCACCUAGGCGACGAUCCCUAGCUGGUCUGGGAGGAUGACCAGCCACAAUGGAAGUGAGGCACGGGCCCGACUUCGACGGGAGGCAGCAGUGGGGAAUAGUGGACAAUGGGGGCAAGCCCGAUGCAGCCAUGCCGCGUGGGGGAAGAAGGCCUUCGGGUUGGAAAGCACUUUUAGCGGGGAGGCGUUACCCGCAGAAGAAGCACCGGCUAACUCCGUGCCAGCAGCCGCGGUAAUAC
rnacentral:rRNA from 1 species